GCAAGUCGAGCGAAUCAAUGGGAGCUUGCUCCCUGAGAUUAGCGGCGGACGGGUGAGUAACACGUGGGUAACCUGCCUGUAAGAUUGGGAUAACUCCGGGAAACCGGAGCUAAUACCGGAUAACAUUUUGAACCGCAUGGUUCAAAGUUGAAAGAUGGUUUCGGCUAUCACUUACAGAUGGACCCGCGGCGCAUUAGCUAGUUGGUGAGGUAACGGCUCACCAAGGCAACGAUGCGUAGCCGACCUGAGAGGGUGAUCGGCCACACUGGGACUGAGACACGGCCCAGACUCCUACGGGAGGCAGCAGUAGGGAAUCUUCCGCAAUGGACGAAAGUCUGACGGAGCAACGCCGCGUGAACGAUGAAGGCCUUCGGGUCGUAAAGUUCUGUUGUUAGGGAAGAACAAGUACCAGAGUAACUGCUGGUACCUUGACGGUACCUAACCAGAAAGCCACGGCUAACUACGUGCCAGCAGCCGCGGUAAUACGUAGGUGGCAAGCGUUGUCCGGAAUUAUUGGGCGUAAAGCGUACGCAGGCGGUUUCUUAAGUCUGAUGUGAAAGCCCACGGCUCAACCGUGGAGGGUCAUUGGAAACUGGGGAACUUGAGUACAGAAGAGGAGAGUGGAAUUCC
rnacentral:rRNA from 1 species